AGAGUUUGAUCAUGGCUCAGAUUGAACGCUGGCGGUAUGCUUAACACAUGCAAGUCGAACGGUAGCAGGCCUUCGGGCGCUGACGAGUGGCGGACGGGUGAGUAACGCGUAGGAAUCUGCCUCAUAGUGGGGGACAACGUGGGGAAACUCACGCUAAUACCGCAUACGCCCUACGGGGGAAAGCGGGGGCUCUUCGGACCUCGCGCUAUGAGAUGAGCCUGCGUUAGAUUAGCUAGUUGGUGGGGUAAAGGCCUACCAAGGCGACGAUCUAUAGCUGGUCUGAGAGGACGAUCAGCCACACUGGGACUGAGACACGGCCCAGACUCCUACGGGAGGCAGCAGUGGGGAAUAUUGGACAAUGGGCGGAAGCCUGAUCCAGCAAUACCGCGUGUGUGAAGAAGGCCUUAGGGUUGUAAAGCACUUUCAAUUGGGAGGAAAACCUACCGGCCAAUACCCGGUAGCUUGACAUUACCUUUAGAAGAAGCACCGGCUAACUCCGUGCCAGCAGCCGCGGUAAUACGGAGGGUGCGAGCGUUAAUCGGAAUUACUGGGCGUAAAGCGUGCGUAGGCGGUUCGUUAAGUCAGAUGUGAAAGCCCUGGGCUCAACCUGGGAACGGCAUUUGAAACUGGCGGACUAGAGUUUAGUAGAGGGGAGUGGAAUUUCAGGUGUAGCGGUGAAAUGCGUAGAUAUCUGAAGGAACACCAGUGGCGAAGGCGACUCCCUGGACUAGAACUGACGCUGAGGUACGAAAGCGUGGGUAGCAAACAGGAUUAGAUACCCUGGUAGUCCACGCCGUAAACGAUGUCGACUAGCCGUUGGUCCUAUUUACAGGAUUAGUGGCGCAGCUAACGCAUUAAGUCGACCGCCUGGGGAGUACGGCCGCAAGGUUAAAACUCAAAUGAAUUUGACGGGGGCCCGCACAAGCGGGUGGAGCAUGUGGUUUAAUUUCGAUGCAACGCGAAGAACCUUACCUACCUCUUUGACAUCCAG
rnacentral:rRNA from 1 species